CAAAUGCCGGAAUGAGUAGCGCGAAUGCGGUGAGAAUCUGCAUGGCCGAAAGCCUCAGGUUUCCGGAGGAAGGUUCGUCCGCUCCAGGUUAGUCGGGAGCUAAGGUGAGGCCUAACGGCGUAGCCGAUGCACAGACGGUAGAGAUCCGUCACCACCAAAAGAGUUAAACACAGGGACACAUACGAAGUCUCGGAGCCGGGUGUUGGUUCCGGUAGCGAUCGAGGGAAAUUAGUACCGAAGUCCGGGAUGGAAGAUGGCGAGAAAAGCUGUGUGUAUUUCUGCGGUGCCCGUACCGCAAACCGACACAGGUAGGUAGGAAGAAGAUUCUAAGGCCAACGGGAGAAGGGUUGUUAAGGAACUCGGCAAAUUGACCCCGUAACUUCGGGAGAAGGGGUGCUGCAGCAAUGCAGCCGCAGAGAAUCGGCCCAAGCAACUGUUUACCAAAAACACAGGUUUGUGCUAAAUCGAAAGAUGACGUAUACGAGCUGACGCCUGCCCGGUGCUGGAAGGUUAAGAGGAGAUGUGCAAGCAUUGAAUCGAAGCCCCAGUGAACGGCGGCCGUAACGAUAACGGUCCUAAGGUAGCGAAAUUCCUUGUCAGGUAAGUUCUGACCCGCAUGAAAGGCGUAAUGAUUUGGGCACUGUCUCAACAGCCCGCCCGGCGAAAUUGUAGUACCGGUGAAGAUGCCGGUUUACCCGCGACAAGACGGAAAGACCCCAUGGAGCUUUACUGUAGCCUAAUAUUGGGUUUCGAUGUUGCAUGCACAGGAUAGAUGGGACACUGGGAAGCAGGUGCUUUGGCGCUUGUGGAGUGGCCGUUGGGAUACCAUCCUUGCGAUAUUGGAAUUCUAACCUGCGCCUUUGAAUCAAGGCGGGGGACAUUGUUAGGUGGGCAGUUUGACUGGGGCGGUCGCCUCCUAAAGAGUAACGGAGGCGUUCAAAGGUUCGCUCAGCUUGAACGGAAAUCAAGCAAAAGAGUGCAAACGCAGAAGCGAGCCUAACUGCGAGACUGACGGGUCGAGCAGUAACGAAAGUUGGAGUUAGUGAUCCGGUGGUAUGUGAGUGGAAAUGCCAUCGCUCAACGGAUAAAAGUUACCCUGGGGAUAACAGGCUGAUCUCCCCCAAGAGUCCACAUCGACGGGGAGGUUUGGCACCUCGAUGUCGGCUCAUCGCAUCCUGGGGCUGUAUUCGGUCCCAAGGGUUUGGCUGUUCGCCAAUUAAAGCGGUACGCGAGCUGGGUUCAGAACGUCGUGAGACAGUUCGGUCCCUAUCUGUCGUGGGCGCAGGAUAUUUGAUGGGAGCUGUUCCUAGUACGAGAGGACCGGAGCGGACGUACCUCUGGCGCACCAGUUGUUCUGCCAAGAGCAUAGCUGGGCAACUAUGUACGGAUCGGAUAAACGCUGAAAGCAUCUAAGCGUGAAGCCGACCCAAAGAUAAGAUAUCCCAUUGUUUCAAACAAGUAAGACCCCUUGAAGACUACAAGGUUGAUAGGCACGAUGUGUAAGUGGAGCGAUCCAUUCAGCAAGCGUGUACUAAUAGGUCGAGGGCUUGAUC
rnacentral:rRNA from 1 species